UUCUUAUCCUCCACUACAAACGAGCACAGAAAGGACAGUUCAUAACUUUGACUUUUGCCUCCACACCCACUCACAUAUUUUCUUUCUCUCAGUGAAUAGUCAAUAACAAUAAAACUAGUUCUGGGACAUUGGACCAUCUCUUCAUAGUGAUGGCUAGCACUUACACUUUACACUACCCACUUUCUUCCUAUUUUGUAAACAUCAAGCAAAAGUAGCUUUAAUGAGAACAAUCGAAUAACUCAAGUUAGAGACCCACUUUUGUGUUUUUCCUUACAAAGACCCUCUUCAUUGCCUUUGUGUUUGAUUGAAGGAUGGUGCAAAGUCACGAUGACAUGACAACAGUGAUUGGGUAAUGGAUUUUAUGUUGGGCUGCCCCCGUUAAUAAAACAAUAAAGAUGAAAUGGCUUAAUGGCCUGCUUCAAUGUACAUCAAGACUACACAGAGUUACUACCUGCAGGAACAGGACUGAGCACAUUCAACAUGAGCCCUGGAACACAACACAUUUCCAUCAAUCAAGACUUAGUAGGGUACAUGGUGAAAAAUGCACUGUCAUCCCUGGAGGUCAAGUUCGUUUAUAUAGCUCAGAAGAUCCAGUUGAUUGAGUUAAUUUAUAGCUGACGCUACUCAGAUAGCCUCUGUUGUCUGCAAUGGUGAUCAAUCGUCCUAAUAGUACACAUUUUAUUAGCGAUUGUACCUUUUACAUAACGUGUAACAUAAGCAACAAGUGGGGUCACCAGAUCCAAACUCCACCUUGAUAACACAUUUUUGAGGGCAAGGAGCAGUAGCGGCCGCUAUCUUCAACAGGAAACCAUCAGUGAUACUCUGGACGCCAACAGGAACUCCUUGUUGUCAAUGGACACCAAGGCAAAGGCCCGGGGGGCCUGGAUGUUCAGCUCCUGGAAGUGGACAAACUGGCCCUUCUUAGAGUCCCACUGGUAGACCUGUGUGAGGGA